rnacentral:rRNA from 1 species
CCUACGGGAGACAGCAGUGGGGAAUAUUGCACAAUUGGGGAAACCCUGAUGCAGCUACGCCGCGUGAGUGAAGAAGUAAUUCGUUAUGUAAAGCUCUCUCAGCAGGGAAGAAAAUGACGGUACCUGAGUACGAAGCCCCGGCUAACUACGUGCCAGCAGCCGCGGUAAUACGUAGGGGGCAAGCUUUAUCCGGAUUUACUGGUGGUAAAGGGAGCGUAGACGGCAGUGCAAGUCUGGAGUGAAAGGCGGGGGCUCAACCCCCGGACUGCUCUGGAAACUGUACGGCUGGAGUGCAGGAGAGGUAAGUGGAAGUCCUAGUGUAGCGGUGAAAUGCGUAGAUAUUAGGAGGAACACCAGUGGCGAAGGCGGCUUACUGGACUGUAACUGACGUUGAGGCUCGAAAGCGUGGGGAGCAAACAGGAUUAGAUACCCCUGUAGUC